rnacentral:other from 1 species
CAAAUUCUGAAAUAUGCGUCAGGCUUUAAUUUGAACCUACAUUAAUUGAAAGGGAGUUCAACAUUUAGAUGCUUAUAUGUACCCUUUAAGACAUAGGAGUGAUAGCGGUAUCUGUGAGGACACCCACCUAUCGGGAGAUAGGUGUCAAAUGAAGUCAGCGGUAUUUUGGAUUUAAU